rnacentral:rRNA from 1 species
UAGGGAAUCUUCCGCAAUGGACGCAAGUCUGACGGAGCAACGCCGCGUGAGUGAAGAAGGAUUUCGGUUCGUAAAACUCUGUUGUUAGAGAAGAACAGCGCAUAGAGUAACUGUUAUGCGUGUGACGGUAUCUAACCAGAAAGCCACGGCUAACUACGUGCCAGCAGCCGCGGUAAUACGUAGGUGGCAAGCGUUGUCCGGAUUUAUUGGGCGUAAAGCGAGCGCAGGCGGUCAAUUAAGUCUGAUGUGAAAGCCCCCGGCUCAACCGGGGAGGGUCAUUGGAAACUGGUUGACUUGAGUGCAGAAGAGGAGAGUGGAAUUCCAUGUGUAGCGGUGAAAUGCGUAGAUAUAUGGAGGAACACCAGUGGCGAAAGCGACUCCCUGGUCUGUAACUGACGCUGAGGCUCGAAAGCGUGGGUAGCAAACAGG